rnacentral:rRNA from 1 species
GAUGAACGCUGGCGGCGUGCCUAAUACAUGCAAGUCGAGCGAACAGACGAGGAGCUUGCUCCUCUGACGUUAGCGGCGGACGGGUGAGUAACACGUGGAUAACCUACCUAUAAGACUGGGAUAACUUCGGGAAACCGGAGCUAAUACCGGAUAACAUGUUGAACCGCAUGGUUCAACAGUGAAAGACGGUCUUGCUGUCACUUAUCGAUGGAUCCGCGCCGCAUUAGCUAGUUGGUAAGGUAACGGCUUACCAAGGCAACGAUGCGUAGCCGACCUGAGAGGGUGAUCGGCCACACUGGAACUGAGACACGGUCCAGACUCCUACGGGAGGCAGCAGUAGGGAAUCUUCCGCAAUGGGCGAAAGCCUGACGGAGCAACGCCGCGUGAGUGAAGAAGGUCUUCGGAUCGUAAAACUCUGUUAUUAGGGAAGAACAAAUGUGUAAGUAACUAUGCACGUCUUGACGGUACCUAAUCAGAAAGCCACGGCUAACUACGUG